UGAAAAGUGAUCUAGGGUUCCGAUACAUGAAGUUUCAAGUAUGUCUGCGACCGAGAGUUCACGGCUUAAGUUGCAAGCUCAAGCUACACGGAGGGAUAAAAGCCCGGGAGGU
rfam:Acinetobacter sp. NCu2D-2 plasmid, complete sequence.